CGGCGGACGGGUGAGUAACGCGUGGGUAACCUGCCUCAUACAGGGGGAUAACAGUUGGAAACGGCUGCUAAUACCGCAUAAGCGCACAGUACCGCAUGGCACCGUGUGAAAAACUCCGGUGGUAUGAGAUGGACCCGCGUCUGAUUAGGUAGUUGGUGGGGUAACGGCCUACCAAGCCGACGAUCAGUAGCCGACCUGAGAGGAUGACCGGCCACAUUGGGACUGAGACAUGGCCCAA
rnacentral:rRNA from 1 species